CCCAUCAUAGUUUAUUUUAAAACAUCGACCUGCAAAAUCGAAGAAGGAGAUAUCUCUUGAUGUGU
rnacentral:tRNA from 2 species